GUCAUAGUGCAUUUACUGCCAUCUUUCGACAGAUGUUUAAAACUUUUAGAACGCCAUUUAACUUUGAUCCUUAUUCUUUCACUGAUAUUUUAAGGUGGUUCGACUAGGUUACUCAAAGCUUAACUCUCGCUAGAUGGCGCCACUUUCGCAAAAUUACAGGUUUUAUUUUUUUGUGGAAUGGUCUUGGUAUUUGUAUACUUAAAAGUAUGUUUAGCGCACUCUUUAAGUAAAUAUUGAACUAUU